rnacentral:rRNA from 1 species
UACGAUGAGGUCCAAGCGUUAUCCGGAUUUAUUGGGUUUAAAGGGUGCGUAGGCGGCUUAUAAGUCAGUGGUGAAAGCUCCAUGCUUAACAUGGAAAUUGCCAUUGAUACUGAUGAGCUUGAGUACACUUGAAGUGGGCGGAAUAUGUCAUGUAGAGGUGAAAUUCUUAGAGAUGACAUAGAACACCGAUUGCGAAGGCAGCUCACUAAAUUGUAACUGACGCUGAGGCACGAAAGCGUGGGGAUCAAACAGG